GACGAACGCUGGCGGCGUGCUUAACACAUGCCAGUCGAACGGAAAGGCCCUGCUUUGCUGGGGUGCUCGAGUGGCGAACGGGUGAGUAACACGUGAGUAACCUUCCCUUGGCUUGGGGAUAACUGCAGGAAACUGGGUCUAAUACCGGAUAGGAGCUCCUGCUGCAUGGUGGGGGUUGGAAAGUUUCGGCUGUUGGGUAUGGACUCGCGGCUUAUCAUCUUGUGGGUGGGGUAGUGGCUUACCAAGGCUGUGACGGGUAGCCGGCCUGAGAGGGUGACCGGCGACAAUGGGACUGCGAUACGGAGCAGACUCGUACGGGAGGCAGCAGUGGAGAGUCUUGUACAGUGAGCGGAAGCCUGAUGAAGAAACGCUGCGUGUGGGAUGAAGGCCUUCGGGUUGUAAAACCCCUUCGCCUGUGACGAAGCGUGAGUGACGGUAAUGGGUAAAGAAGCACCGGCUAACUACGUG
rnacentral:rRNA from 1 species